ensembl:snRNA U6 U6 spliceosomal RNA
GUGCUCGCUUCAGCCGCACAUAUACUAAAAUUGUAACGAAAGAGAAGAUUAGCAUGGCCCCUGCGUGAGGAUGACAUGCAAAUUCGUGAACCAUUCCAUAUUUUU